rnacentral:lncRNA from 1 species
UUACAGCUCAAUGCAACCUCCUGGCAGGCCAGCCUUAAGCCCAGCAGUCCAACCAUGCAUCUAAGCUGAGUUCUCAUCAGAGCCAACUUCAAUUAUAAACAACUGAGAUGAUGCCAGAGGCCAGAAUCCCUGAGAACCCAAUUUGCUGUCAUCACCAUGGCUGAAACAAGGUGCUUGGCAUCUAGAAAAGGUGACCUUCAUAAUGCAGGCAAUAGAGAAUUGCAAGAUUUGUCAGAGACUUCAGGUCUUUGGAAAGCUAUGCUCUUUCACAAGAACAGCCAUGGAAACAGGAAGAAAGUCAAUUCCCACUUAAGCCAUUUCUUUCAUUUGAAGUUGAAAACUGCUCAUCAAAAUCCAGUUUAAGCUGAGAAACAAAGAACUAAAUUUUGCAUGAGACAUUAUACACUGCAUAAGUAUAAAACAGGACCAGAAACAAUGGUGGAUUAGCAAUUUUUAAAAAGACAAAAGCAGGUUAUCAUUAAAUCAAUUGUUACCAACACACCAAUUCCACCUCUAGGCCAGAAAAUUAGCCACUUACCCACAGGAAAACAAUGAUUGAAGACAAAGUUCACCAGUGAAAGUUGGUUAUUUUUUUCCAUCCUUGCAUCAACUAAAAUGAUAUCUACAGUUCCUCCUAACACUUUUCUGAGUUUCAAAUAUGUGGGUAUGCUUCAUUAGCUGAGGCCAUUUUCCAUAUGUACAUCUGGCUACAAGGGAAACUGGGAAUGUGAGCCCUGAUCCUAAUGUUUGUGGAGUAUUUAGAAAUUUGAGAAUUCCCUCCAAAU